ACUCUCAAUAUGUUUCUUCUCAAAUAAACUAUCUUGUAAUAUAUGCUUGCAUGCAUGUUGUGAGAUAAUGGAGUAAAACAAUUUAGAUUGGUGUUAUUAUGUAUAUUAUAAAAAGAAAACAUUAUCGAAUUUGGUGGUGAAGUCACAAUUACAUUUUUUGUUUUGUAUCAGUACCGAGGUUUUGGCUUUGUAUUUUCAAAACAAACACAUACCUAUUAUACCUACUAACAUUAGUUGCUACCUAUUAGUGUUUCUCUAUUAAAUAAGUUCGAUCACUAAGUUUGGUCAAUCGGUUGUAUAAAUUUCUUUAUUAAUAUAACACCAGACAAUGAAAGGAGCCUAUCUAGGAGUGAUUCUCCUGAUAGGUCACCAAAACACACAAGUCGUAGACGUGAUUUUACUCCGGGAUACUCAUUUGCAAGAUAAUAUCAUUCACCUUUUAUUGAUCGCUUGCAUUUUGGUGGAAGAAAUCACCGUGACAGGUACAUGGUUUACCAGGGUUCCCGAUAUCGAUCACCGUCGGAGCCCCGCCAGAGACAGUGUCAACGCCAAUGAAAAUAAAUUAUUAUUAUUUAUAUGCUAUAGUUAAAUAUUUUUUGUAUGGUUAUCAACUUUUAUUAUUUCUGAUAACACGCCAUCGAGCCAAUUCUGAAUAGACAGUCAUUUUUGUUUGUUACUUACUCCCUCCGUUCCAAAUUAUAAGUUCUUUUGACUUCUUGGUACAUCAAUUUACUAUGUAUCUAAAUAUAAUGUAUGUCUAAAUACAUAGCAAAAUCUAUGUAAAAAAAGUGAAAGCGAUUUAUUAUUUGGUAUGGAUGGAAUAGUAUCUCCUAAUGAUUGAAACAAUUAAUUUGGAGUUUCUUUUCCAA